rnacentral:rRNA from 1 species
GACGAACGCUGGCGGCAUGCCUAAUACAUGCAAGUCGAGCGAACAGAUGAAGUGCUUGCACUUCUGACGUUAGCGGCGAACGGGUGAGUAACACGUAAGGAAUCUACCUAUAAGCGGGGGGUAACAUUCGGAAACGGGUGCUAAUACCGCAUAAUAUCUUCUUCCGCAUGGAAGAAGAUUGAAAGACGGCUCUGCUGUCACUUAUAGAUGACCUUGCGGUGCAUUAGUUAGUUGGUGGGGUAACGGCCUACCAAGACGAUGAUGCAUAGCCGACCUGAGAGGGUGAACGGCCACAUUGGGACUGAGACACGGACCAAACUCCUACGGGAGGCAGCAGUAGGGAAUCUUCCGCAAUGGGCGAAAGCCUGACGGAGCAAUGCCGCGUGAGUGAAGAAGGCCUUCGGGUCGUAAAACUCUGUUAUAAGAGAAGAACAAAUUGUAGAGUAACUGCUACAGUCUUGACGGUAUCUUAUCAGAAAGCCACGGCUAACUACGUGCCAGCAGCCGCAGUAA